GAGGAUCAUUAAUAAUUUUUUUGAAAUAAAAAAAAUAUAAUCAUCCUACCCUUUGUGAAUUUGUUUGUUUGAAUAAUUUUUUAAAAUUAUUAUUGUCUAUCCAAGUUGGAAAGUUGUAAAAGACUCGAAGACUUGGAGCGGCAUAAUAAUUUAAAGACUUUUUUAAAAUUAAACUUUGUAUCAUUUGUCUAAAUAAUUUUAUAAUAUAUAAAAACACUUUGACAAUGGAUCUCUUGGUCUCGCAACGAUGAAGAACGCAGCAAAAUGCGAUAAGUAAUGUGAAUUGCAGAAUACGUGAAUCAUCGAUCUUCGAACGCAUUGCACUUUUUAGUUUACUAAAAAGUAUUCUGUUGAGUAUCAGUAAAUAUCUCAUAAAUUUUAAUUUAUGGUAUGAGUGUUUACAACGAUAAACAAGUUGUUCACUUAAAUUGAAUUUUUUUGAAGAAAUUCUUAAUUCAAUUAAUUUGGAUAAAUUUUCCCGUAAAAAGGAUAACUAUACAAGUUUAAUAAGAAUUAGUGAUUUCUUUUAUGAAAAGGAAAUUUAUAAUAACUUGAUCUCAAAUCAGAUAAGAUACCGCUGAAUUAAGCAUAUCAAUAAGCGGAGAAAAGAAACUAACAGAUUCCCCUAGUAACGGCGAGUGAAGCGGGAAGAGCUCAAAUUGAAAUCUAAAGGGUUUCCCUUUACGAUUGUAGUUUAAGAAGUGUUUCUGUUGAGUUUGGUAAAAGUUCUUUGGAAUAGACAUCAUAGAGGGUGAGAAUCCCGUAUUUGACCUUACUUUCAACUUUGUGAUACACUUUCAAAGAGUCGGAUUGUUGGGAAUGCAGUCCAAAUGGGUGUAAUUCAUCUAAAGCUAAUAUUGGCGAGAGACGAUAGCGAACAAGUACCGUGAGGGAAGAUGAAAGACUUUGAAAGAGAGUAACAGUACGUGAAAUGUCAAAGGAAGCGUUUGACACCAGUGUUGUUUUCUGAAAUCAAUUAAAGAACUGUUUAUGCUAAGUUGUUUAGACUUUAUCAGCUAACUGUUAGUUUUGAGCUUUCUUUAAUGCACUUUUCAGUUAACAAGUCAACAUCAAUUCUUUUGCUGUAAAAAAGCUUGAGGAAGGUGGCUUGAGAUUCGUCUUAAGUGUUUAUAGCCUCUGCCUGUGCAGUCGGAGAGAUUGAGGUCUGCAGCGUAGAUCCUUCGGGCUAAAUGCAUUUGUGCUAAGUUAUAGCAUUUAUAGACAACUUGUUGACUAUGAUUUGUCUUGUAGCUUACUCGCUUAUGUAUUUACCUACGCUUAGGAUGUUGA
rnacentral:misc_RNA from 1 species